rnacentral:rRNA from 1 species
UGUUUUCAUUAAUCAAGAACGAAAGUUAGAGGUUCGAAGGCGAUCAGAUACCGCCCUAGUUCUAACCAUAAACGAUGCCAACCAGCGAUCCGCCUGAGUUCCUCAAAUGACUCGGCGGGCAGCUUCCGGGAAACCAAAGUGUUUGGGUUCCGGGGGAAGUAUGGUUGCAAAGCUGAAACUUAAAGGAAUUGACGGAAGGGCACCACCAGGAGUGGAGCCUGCGGCUUAAUUUGACUCAACACGGGAAAACUUACCCGGCCCGGACACUGGAAGGAUUGACAGAUUAAGAGCUCUUUCUUGAUUCAGCGGAUGGUGGUGCAUGGCCGUUCUUAGUUGGUGGAGCGAUUUGUCUGGUUAAUUCUGAUAACGAACGAGACUCUAGCCUACUAAAUAGGCGUCCCAAUCAACUUUGUUGGGCGUUCUUCUUAGAGGGACAAGCGGCUUUUAGCCGCACGAGACAGAGCAAUAACAGGUCUGUGAUGCCCUGAGAUGUCCGGGGCCGCACGCGCGCUACACUGAAGGAAUCAGCGUGUGUUUUCCCUGUCUGGUAGGACUGGGUAACCCGCUAAACAUCCUUCGUGAUAGGGAUAGGGGCUUGUAAUUGUUCCCCUUGAACGAGGAAUUCCCAGUAAGCACGAGUCAUAAGCUCGUGUUGAUUACGUCCCUGCCCUUUGUACACACCGCCCGUCGCUGCUACCGAUUGAAUGAUUUAGUGAGGUCUUCGGACUGGCGCUCGUAGCGACUUUGGCCGCGGCGAUGUGCCGGAAAGAUGACCAAACUUGAUCAUUUAGAGGAAGCAAAAGUCGUAACAAGGUUUCC